rnacentral:rRNA from 1 species
AUUGAACGCUGGCGGAAUGCUUUACACAUGCAAGUCGAACGGCAGCACGGGGGCAACCCUGGUGGCGAGUGGCGAACGGGUGAGUAAUACAUCGGAACGUGCCCGGUCGUGGGGGAUAACGUAGCGAAAGUUACGCUAAUACCGCAUACGAUCUGAGGAUGAAAGCGGGGGACCUUCGGGCCUCGCGCGAUCGGAGCGGCCGAUGUCAGAUUAGGUAGUUGGUGGGGUAAAGGCCUACCAAGCCGACGAUCUGUAGCUGGUCUGAGAGGACGACCAGCCACACUGGGACUGAGACACGGCCCAGACUCCUACGGGAGGCAGCAGUGGGGAAUUUUGGACAAUGGGCGCAAGCCUUAUCCAGCCAUUCCGCGUGCAGGACGAAGGCCUUCGGGUUGUAAACUGCUUUUGUAUGGAACGAAAAGGCUCUGGCUAAUACCUGGGGCUCAUGACGGUACCGUAAGAAUAAGCACCGGCUAACUACGUG